rnacentral:snRNA from 1 species
AGAAGUCAUAACUCUUUUAGAAUUUGUUUAACAGGUUUUUCAGAAACCCUU